UUGCUUUGACAGUACGUAUACUAAAAAUUGGGAUGAUACAUAGAUUAGCAUGGCCCCUUCGCAAGGAUGAUACACAAAUUCAUGAAGCAUUCCAUAUUUAA
rnacentral:snRNA from 1 species